ensembl:lncRNA
AGUUCUUUAGCAUUCACUGCUGUCAUUAUGACUCAGCUUGCCAAUCUGGGCACAAAGAAGCUAGAUACAAGUAGGUCAAGGCAAGGACAUGCUGACCAAAGUCAAUCACGAUUGUUUGAGCUGCCUCCUGACUUCCCUCCCAAGAUGGAGAGUUAUUUAAGGACCCAUGCAUUGUGUUUGUUUCUAUACCCCUAUCACCGAGCUAUGCGCCCGGUACGUGGUAAGUGUUUUGAUUUCCUGUGGCCGAGAGAUGAGAAACAACACCCUAGAAGAGAGGGAGACACAGUGAUGGCGGGAGAUUCAACAAUGGAUGGCUUGGCAUAGAAGUCAAGAGGGACACAUGGCUCUAUUCAUUACAGAAACCCAAUAUGUAACAACAGAAAUUCAUAGGGAAGAAAUAACUUUUCAUUCUCUACAUCCUCAUUCAUUCAACAAAUAUUUAUUGAACGUCGAUUUUGCAUGAGACUAUGAGGCAGAGUUAAGCAAUGAACUUCGAGUCUAUCCUUCUUCCACUGAACCCAGUUCAAUCUGGGAAGGAUGGAUGAGGAGCCCUGAAAUGGAAGUCACUGUAAAGUCAUCCCUUUUUCCUUCAAGGAGCUCAAAGCCUGGCUGGAGAGACAAGAUUAGAAAGCAAGGAGUAAUUAUACAUUUAAGCAAAUAUUUACUCAGGGCUUGCUCUACAUCGGAAACCACACUAGGUAUGAGGACACAAUGCUGAGCUGAACCAGACAGGUGAGACCGCUGCUCUCAGGUAAGGCCUUGAGCUUGCCCCGUGGUUAUAGCAGUGAUGACUCUGUACCAAGGGCCAGUGUCAGGUUCUUUCUGUGUAAUUAACCCUCAUGAUGACCCUAUGAGGAAGGGAGAUGUCACCUGAUAAGACAACUGAAACUUAGAAAGGUUACGCAGUUUGCCCCAAACCCAGUAAUCAGUAAAUGGUAGAGCUAGGAUUCCAACCUAAGUCUGUUGACACCAAAGCCAGUAUUCAUUUUUUGUGGUGAGGAAGAUUGGCCCUGAGCUAACAUGUGUUGCCAGUCUUCCUUUUUUUUCCCCCCAAUGCCCCAGUACUUAGUUGUAUAUCCUAGUUGUACAUCCUUCUAGUUCUUCUAUGUGGGGUGCCGCCUCAGCAUGGCCUGAUGAGCAGUGUGCAUGUCCACGCCCAGGAUCUGAACCAGGGAAACCUAGGCCACUGAAGUGGAGCAUGUGAACUUAACUACUCAGCCACAGGGCCAGUCCCCAAAGCCAGCAUUCUUGGCAAAUCUCAGGGCCUCAGUCUUAUGACCCGUGAAACAAGAACAAUUAAAUAAGCCUACCUUUUUAAUAGACUCACUGUUAUUAUCAAGUAAAGACAGUUUAAUGUUUAGUUGGGCACACAGCCUCCUGGAGUUGACAAUAUUUUCUCAGCCUCCGUUGGACCUAAAUUCAGCUAUGUGAUUAAGUUCUACAUAAGGGGAAGAGUUGUCUGCCAUUUACGGUCACACUCCUAAGGGGAAGGGGUGUGUGUUCCCCUUCCUCAUAUCCCUUGUCCCUGCUGAGUGGAAUGUUGAUGGUGGCGAGCUAUUUUGGACCAUGAGGCUGAGAGCAACACAUGAGGGAUGGUGAAGCCACAAGGGGGAGCUGUCACCAUGGGGAGCUGUACCGGCUGUGGACUGGCUACCGGCAGACUGUUGUGAGAGGGAAAUUAGCUUUAUCUUGUUUAAUCUUCACUGUUUUAGAUUUUUGAUAUAUAUAUAACUCAACUUAUAUCCUUACCAAAAUGUCAUAUAUGUAAAAUAGUAGUAUUGUAGAAAGGACUUGUGACUAGUGAUCAAGAAACUUGGGUUUCUUAUCCUAACUUUGUCACCAACUUACUGGGUUACUUACCCUCCCUCUCUGAACCUCAGCUCUUUGCCUAUGAAGUAAAAGGGAGAGAGUGAGAGAUAAUAACAUCCAUUCCACCCUCGGUGGUCUGUGAAUCAAAUAGCGUUUCUUAUGAUACAGAGUUACUUAUUCCAUAACCAUUUAUAAAGUAUCAACUAUUUCGGGCACUAGGCUUUGUAUUGGAGCUAUAAAGAUGAGCAAAAACAGCCUUGCUUUUUGUUCACAAGAAGUUUAAAGUCUAGAGAAGACAGUCACACAAAGAAGAAGUUACAAUUGGAUGAGAUUUGCCAUUUGACAGACAUGUCUGAACAUGUAAUAGGGGCAUAAAGAAAAGAGCUCCUAGAUCUGUCUGGGAAAUCUGUCUGGGAGGAAUUCACAGAAGUAGUGACUUCCAAACUAAAGCUUGAAGAAUGAGCAGAAAUCUGCCCUGCAGGUUGGCAGGGGAGCAGGUUAGAAAGGGGGCAUAUCAGGUGAAAAGAAUAAUGUAAUCAAAGGCAUGGAGGAAUGAACUCAGGUGGUAGAUCUGAGGAAGACAAGACAAUUCAAGAUGGCGGCAGUGCUGCCAUGUUGGAGAGGCUGAUAGGAUUGUGAGUCUUACACAGAUGAGCAGAGAGCAGGCAAGGAAGAAACGCUGCUUGCAGAGGGGCUGUGAUCAUUAUCUGGAGGCGAUGGAGAGCUGUCGAAGGGUUUUAAUAAAGAAGUGGCAUGAUCACAUUUGCACAAGGGAAAGGUGACUAUGGUCAAAACAUGGUGGAGAAUCUAAUAGGUUUAAAAACAGCAAAGGAGGCACAAGUUAGAGACUAUCUCAAUAGUUUAGGCAAGAUGCUUUGUGCCUGACCAGUUCUAUGACAAGAAGAUGGAUUCAAGAAUAUUCAGGGGAUAUAUUUGACUAUUUGGAAGAUCUUUUCCAAUACCUGGAUGAGCAGUUACAGAGAAGGCAGUGUGUAAUUUAGUCUUCUGGAUGGGAACCUGGGGGAGACCAGAGAGAUGGUGGUGGUAUUAACUGAGAUAAACAAGGUAGGAAGGUGAACUGGCUUCUAGGUAGGUCUGUCUAGUGGCAAUGGUCAUAAUAACCAACACUCAUAGGAGCCUGGCACUAGUCUAAGUGUUUUAUGCGUAUAGUGAGGUCUUCAACCCUUACAACAAUCCUAUAUAGGUAUGAUUACUAUCCCCAUUUACAGAGAAGGAAGCAGAGGCAUGGAGAGUUUAAGUAACCGGCCCAAAGUCACAUAUUUAAUAAGCAGACAGCUAGGACUUGAACCCUAGCAGAUGGGCUCCAAAUCAGUGGUCCUAACCCCUAGAUCAUACCAACAUGAACUCUAAGGUGAGGGCGCUCCAAUGUGGGUCUGAAAUUCUGAACUAGAAAUCUGGGCUGGAGGCAUCAGCAUCUUCAUAGCACGAUGUACUGUUAGUCUGAGUGACAGCAUUCAAGGAAGGAAAUUAGAAGAGGGCUGAGUUUGUGACUCUGGAAAACACCAUUAUUUAAAAGUUGGGCCAAGAGAUUUCCAAAAAGAUAACAAAAAUUUAGGGAUUAAAAUGGGUGAGACCACAUAGGUGAAGCAAUUGAUUGUCUGAAAUGUUAUUGAGCACCUACUAAGCAACAGGUCUGGUGUUAUAAGUUUUAGUCUUGUCCUUGUAGAUGUUUAUUGGGAGAAAAGAGGCACACAUACUCAACAUAAUGUGCUUAAUAAAGAAAAUGUCUACUGGGUACUAAGGAUGCCCAGAGGAGCGAACUCCUAAAUUACUCUGGUAAGUUCCAGGAAGAUUUUGCAGAUGCGGGAGCAUUUGAGCAGAGGUUUAAAAGAACAGAAGUUUAUUUGACUGACAAGGAAAUAAAAGGGCAUUCCAGCUGAAUGGAAAAGUUAUGUUCUGCAUCAGUUAGGACUCAUCUUUGUCAGCAACUAACCCAACAAGCAAUGGCUUUCUGCAACGAGAAGCAGGCAGGAGUAAUCGCAUGUUGGUGUAGGAGCUCUGUGAUGCCACAAGGACACUAGGCUCUUUCCAUCAUUUCUCUUUGCCAUCCUUAGCAUUUUGUCCCAGUGUUUAUUGCCUCAUGGUCCCAAGAUGGCUGCUGCACUUCUGGACGCCUAUGUUUACAUUAUAGACAAAAAUAAAAGAAAGGGCCAUGAGGCUGAAGGGGCGUGCUGAGUCUUGAUCAGAUCAAGCACCUACUAUGUGCCAGAUAUUGUGCUAGGCGUGGGGAAUACUGUUCCUGACCUUGAGGAGACAGGCUUGUAAACAAUGCAUGUCAUUCUGAUGAGCAGCCUGGGACCAGAAGCCUUCUCCUGUACCUCCGAUAGAAGCCUGGAUGUGCCACCCUCAGAACAGAGGACUUUGUCCAUGCACUGAUGUGAAUCACCCAGAUUGAUAGAUUGGGGUGUGAGGGCUAGUGGACAGUCUGGCCAACGUCCCAGGACUCCCCUCUCAACUCAACUUUGUUAUUCUUUAAUCUUUACGGCACGCAUAUUUACUAGGGACUAAUUUGGGGAUUCAUGAAUUGAUUCAUUCAAUCAACAAAUAUUUCUUGAGUUCUCGCUGCAUGUCAGGCAUGGUGGUAGGUCCUGAAGAUGCAAUGGUGAACAAAAUUGGCAAAGAUCUUGCAUUCAUGGGGCUUAUAUUCUGGUG